AACCCAUUUCAACUGCCUAUUCAGAGCAUGCAGUAAGAGGAAAUCCACCAAGUCUCAAUAUAAUAAUAUUCUUUACUCCUGGAUAGCUCAGUUAAUGAAAAAAUGGACACGGAAAGUAAUAGGAGAGCAAAUCUUGCUCUCCCACAAGAGCCUUCCAGCGUGCCUGCAUUUGAAGUCUUGGAAAUAUCUCCCCAGGAAGUAUCUUCAGGCAGACUGUUGAAGUCGGCCUCAUCCCCACCACAGCAUACAUGGCUGACAGUUUUGAAAAAAGAGCAGGAGUUCCUGGGGGUAACACAAAUUCUGACUGCUAUGAUAUGCCUUUGUUUUGGAACAGUUGUCUGCUCUGUACUUGAUAUUUCACACAUUGAGGGAGACAUUUUUUCAUCAUUUAAAGCAGGUUAUCCAUUCUGGGGAGCCAUAUUUUUUUCUAUUUCUGGAAUUUUGUCAAUUAUAUCUGAAAGGAGAAAUGCAACAUAUCUGGUGAGAGGAAGCCUGGGAGCAAACACUGCCAGCAGCAUAGCUGGGGGAACGGGAAUUACCAUCCUGAUCAUCAACCUGAAGAAGAGCUUGGCUUAUAUCCAUAUCCACAGUUGCCAGAAAUUUUUUGAGACCAAGUGCUUUAUGGCUUCCUUUUCCACUGUAUGUAUUUUUUUUGUGUGGGAAGACUAAGAUUCUGGGUCCUAAUGUAAGUAAGAAGCCCUCUUCUGUUCCAUGAACACCAUCCUUUUCUGUAACUUCUAUUACAUAGUAUAGUGUUCUGUAAGUUCACACAGUCCAGGGAGAUGCUGGAUGCCCACUCCCCUCAACCCAGGCAAAUUCGUCGGGGUUAAAGUUAUCUACUGCAAGUGACGAUCUCUGGGUUUUUCUGUGCCUGUGUUUGUGUGUGCGUGUGUGUGUGUGUGUGUGUGUAUGUGUCACUUUAGAAGGACUGGUCAGAUGGUAGGGAGAUGAAAACAGGAGAUGCUAUACGAAAAUAAACUUUUGGGGCGCAUACCAUGUGACUCUUUUUGUUUGUCGUUUGUUGCUGUUCAAUAGGAAAUUGUAGUGAUGAUGCUGUUUCUCACCAUUCUGGGACUUGGUAGUGCUGUGUCACUCACAAUCUA
rnacentral:sRNA from 1 species